UGGGGAAUCUUGCGCAAUGGGCGAAAGCCUGACGCAGCAACGCCGCGUGAGUGAUGAAGGUUCUUGGAUCGUAAAGCUCUUUCGGCUGGGAAGAAACGCCCGGUGGCCAAUACCCAUCGGGUUUGACGGUACCAGCAGAAGAGGCACCGGCUAACUCUGUGCCAGCAGCCGCGGUAAUACAGAGGGUGCGAGCGUUGUUCGGAAUUAUUGGGCGUAAAGCGAGUGUAGGCGGGAUGGCAAGUCGGGUGUGAAAGCCCUCAGCUCAACUGAGGAAGUGCGCCCGAAACUGCCGUUCUUGAGUGUCGGAGAGGGUGACGGAAUUCCCGGUGUAGAGGUGAAAUUCGUAGAUAUCGGGAGGAACACCAGUGGCGAAGGCGGUCACCUGGACGAACACUGACGCUGAGACUCGAAAGCGUGGGUAGCAAACAGGAUUAGAUACCCUGGUAGUCCACGCCGUAAACGAUGAGUGCUAGCUGUUGCGGGUAUUGA
rnacentral:rRNA from 1 species